GUUUUUACUUCGGCAGAACAUAUACUAAAAUUGGAACGAUACAGAGAAGAUUAGCAUGGCCC
rnacentral:snRNA from 1 species